GCCUGCAUGGAAGUUGUUCCUUCCAAUUCGCUGCACAAGUUAGGACAUGAAUGAUGAGUGCUCGGGCCCGCUCUGCCUUACUUGUGGCCGGCCCUUCUUUCUCCAUGGCGAGCUACCCCGGCGGUGACGCGUGCCCGCUCUGCGGCAGCGGGGAUGACCAGGCGGCGGUGGGUCCCGCGCUCGUCAUGCUCCACAAGCUAGCUAAACCUACCCGUGUAGACGGUGGCCCGGGUGGGGGCCGACAAGGUGGCGGCCACGCUGCCUGAGGCGGUCAACUGCAUCUUCAACCUCCGGAUGGUCACCCCGACGACGCUGAUGCCCCGUGAGCGGUCUCCCGCACAUGCCCCGCCGCGACGCAACCCUUGCUCCGUCUUUCAUGAAUCACUUUGAGGUGGAGGUGAUGACGUGGAGGCGCACAACCGCCGCCGUAUACAAUCUGGGUCGUAGGGACGGACACACAACUGGCGGUUCCAGGACCAACACCUCGCGCAGCUGCCACUCCUCUUGGUUGUUGUGGUGCGCUGUUACAUCUACGCAACUCGAAGAUCCAGAGCGCGCGAUUGUGUCACCGCAGAUGGCAGCAGCAAGGGCGACAAGGCGGAGGAGGGCGGGAGAGCGUUCAGCCCGUCCAGAUUGCGACCACCAGAUCUGCGUCCAUAUCACUCGUGCUGGUGCUGCCACUCUUCGCGGAGGUGCCGGCUAGCCGGCACAUACGUCACAGACCUAGGAAUUUAAACAAUUCACCAACAGAAGCCAGCUAGAAUAGUUGAGGAGGAAAGUAGUGUCAUAUUCCGUAUUUACAUUCAGUUUUUGAGAGAACACAACAGUAAUUUUUGUCAUUUUGCUCCGCAGGUGGAAUUUGUCGAGGGAUCCUACCCAUAUCCGAGUACACCACAGGCUACUCGACCAAUAUGACCACCGAACAGAUUGAGGCCUAUGACAACGAUCUCAUGGAGCAAUGCAGAUACAGUUCAAACUAAUUUGCUCACGGGCUUAUAGCCAAGAAACAGCAAGUGCUGAUUCUUGAAAAAAACAUCAAGUUGCACAAUAACAUCAAGUUCUGAUUCUUGCUUGCUUCAAAUUCUUGAUUCACAGAAAGAAUUUGUAAUUUUAUCAUGUAGUUUCAUGCUCCAAAUUUUGAUAAAAUUGACAAAUGUCAGUUUUGAUUGUUAGAUUAGGUUCAUGAAUGCAAGCACAUCCAAUCAUCAUCAUCUUAAUUUUGGCUCUAGCACUCUGCUCUUUUUGUGAGGAAUGUGGUCAGCAUUGCUGCGCAACACGUCAAUGGUGGUAGAAGCAACACCCAAAAGGAGCGACAUCACGAAGAUGGAGGACGAUAUCGAGCUGAGGUGAACCAUUGCCAAUUUGCCAUGAAAGCGGUGCAUGAAGCACAGGAAAGGCAGUAGUAAGUUAUUAAGGUAGUGGUGUGUGGUUCCGAUGAUGGUCUUAAGGCCGACAUAAAGGAAGAUGAACUUGGGAGUUAUUUUCAGUCAAUGCGAGCCACGUUGAAGCAAGUUGCUAAGAAGGUUCUUAUCAACCCUGCAACUCGCCCUGAGCAGGCCACGAAGAACGUCACUAACUCUGAUGAGCAUAGGAAGCCAUUAGAGGAUGUUGUCGGUGGCUUUGCCCUCAAAAAUCUGCAGGAAAAAGAUCAUCAACAAGCUGACCUUUGUGCUCAACCAUUGCCCCAAGCUGAUUUCAAUGCCUUAAGCUUUGCUUGCGUUUGUGAAUGGCAUCACAUGUGCGGGAUGAUAUCAAGAAGUUCAACAGCAAAAUGAGCUCACCAUUGUCGAGUGUUUACUACAUCUAGGUCAUCAACAAAUACUACAAAGCAUCAUAUGUAACUACAACCUUCCUCAGCAUGUCUUUUAUUUUGCGGGUAUCAUGUUUUUAUUUAUUUAUGGGUAGCAUUUAUGUUAAAGGCAAUUCUUUAAUCCUUUCUGAGGUGAAAUACAAGCAUGUAAUCACUGAAUUAUUGUAUAAUGGAGUUUUUGCUGAUACAAAGCAAUA